rnacentral:rRNA from 1 species
GACGAACGCUGGCGGCGUGCUUAACACAUGCAAGUCGAACGGUGAAGCGAGUGCUUGCACUCGUGGAUCAGUGGCGAACGGGUGAGUAACACGUGAGUAACCUGCCCAUCACUCUGGGAUAAGCACUGGAAACGGUGUCUAAUACUGGAUACGACCAACCCUUGCAUGGGGUGUUGGUGGAAAGAUUUAUCGGUGAUGGAUGGACUCGCGGCCUAUCAGCCUGUUGGCGGGGUAAUGGCCCACCAAGGCGACGACGGGUAGCCGGCCUGAGAGGGUGACCGGCCACACUGGGACUGAGACACGGCCCAGACUCCUACGGGAGGCAGCAGUGGGGAAUAUUGCACAAUGGGCGAAAGCCUGAUGCAGCGACGCCGCGUGAGGGAUGACGGCCUUCGGGUUGUAAACCUCUUUCAGCAGGGAAGAAGCGAAAGUGACGGUACCUGCAGAAGAAGCACCGGCUAACUACGUG